GACGUCCAACUACAAUUAGACGUCCGCCCGGGUACUACGAGCAUUAGCUUGAAACCCAAAGGACCUGACGGUGCCUCAGACCCCCCUAGAGGAGCCUGUUCUAGAACCGAUAACCCCCGUUAAACCUCACCCCUUCUAGCCAUCCCAGCCUAUAUACCGCCGUCGUCAGCUUACCCUGUGAAGG
rnacentral:rRNA from 1 species